rnacentral:rRNA from 1 species
UACGGAGGGGGCUAGCGUUGUUCGGAAUUACUGGGCGUAAAGCGCACGUAGGCGGCUUUGUAAGUUAGAGGUGAAAGCCCGGGGCUCAACUCCGGAAUUGCCUUUAAGACUGCAUCGCUAGAAUUGUGGAGAGGUAAGUGGAAUUCCGAGUGUAGAGGUGAAAUUCGUAGAUAUUCGGAAGAAACACCAGUGGCGAAGGCGACUUACUGGACACAUAUUGACGCUGAGGUGGCGAAAAGCGUGGGGGAGCAAACAGG